AAAAUUUGAAUGAACGUUAAAAAUUUCUUAUACAUUCAUACAUUCAUAUAUAUAUACAUAUAUUAAGAUUUGAGUUUAAUAAUACAUAACAAUUGUGGCUGCAAAUAGAAAACUAAAUUAAAAUUGAAUUUCUAUUAAAUUGUAUCAAUAUCAACGAUUAUUAUUUAAUCGAUAUAAAUUGAUUGUUAAUACAUAUAUGUACAACAUGCAUUAACAACCAAUCACAAAUGAAUAAAAUAAGUAGUAGUGAUUCGAGUGUCGCACCUUGAGAAAAAAAAUUUUUUAAUUCAACAAAGUAAAAUAUUUACUUGGUCUUUUUGAAAGAGAUAUUUUUAACGCUAUUUUUGUCUCUUACCAAAGAGCGAAUUCGAUUAUAAACCAAAUAUAAAUUGUAUAGAGAACAAAAAGUAUAAAAAGACGGAGAGAAACAGACGGUGAGAGAGACAAAGCACACACACACACACACCCAGAGAGAGAGAGAGAGAGAGAGAGAGAGAGAGAGAGAGAGAGCAAGAGAGAGCGAGAAAGAGAGAGAGAGAGAGAGAGAGAGACAUACUUUUUCGGAUAGGAUGUCGCCAAGUUCUUCAUGAACCGUGACGGUGCGAUAAAAAUCCUGAACGUUAAUUGGCCGAAGAUGUUCAUAAGAGCGUGUACAAUGAUUUACGUAAUGCAUGAAUUUAACUUAACGAUAAUAGAAAAUACGGUAAAUGGCAUUUCGUUCGAGUUUAUACGAUCCAAAAGAGAAAGAGAGGACAAAAAGAAAAGAAAAAAAUGAAAGAAAGAAAGAAGAGAAGAGAAGAAUAAGAAAAUUAGAACGAUUUACCAGUGAACAAAGACGAACAUUUUGUAACGAGAAGAGAGAUACAGAUAGAUAGAUAGAUAGAUAAAUAGAUAGAUAGAUAGAUAGAUAGACAAAUAAAUAUAGUGAGGAAAAAAAAAAAACAAGAUGGACGAUCGAAACAAAUAAAUGUCUUUCCCAUUUGAGAAAAGAACGAACGAAUAUCGAAAGUUUUAAUGGGACUACAAAUUUUGAGAGUUUAUUAUAUAUCUACGUAAGUAAAAUUUUGUGAUAUCGCCUGAUGAACAUCCGAAAGACCUUUAUGCAAAGGAAUUCCAAAGUUAACUAAAAUAGGCAAUGUAUUUAUCUCUCGCACUCUGUUGUCUCUGCUGCUGCUCCUGCUACUGCUGCUAGUGCUGUGUGUGUGUGUGUGUAUGUGUGCGUGCGUGUGUAUAUGUAUGUAUGUAUAUAUGCUGCUGGACUGUCAUGAUAGUUCGAUCGAGAAAUUAAUCAAAAUAUUCAAUUCGACGGACACAUUCAUCGAACUAGUUCGUUACUUCUUUCUUUUUUUUUCUAUUUUUUCUUUUCUUCCUCCUCUUCCUCCUCCUCCUCCUUCUCCUAUUUCUCCUCUUCUUCCUCCUCCUUCUCCUUCUCCUCUUAUUCUUCUUAUUUUUAUUUUUCUUCCUCUUUUUUUUUUCUUUUUUCCUUUUUGAGGUUAUGAUCGCGAGGUAAUGACGCGUAUAGAAAAAAAAAAAAAAAAAAAGAAAAAGAAAAAAAUUUGCGUUUAACGAUCAACGUUGAGAGAGCUCUAUGAAGCUGCUCCUUGUUUUCUAUCUUUUUCUUUUUUUUUUAUUUUUUUUUAUUUUUUUCUCUUUCCUAAGUACAAAAAUAGCGUCGUUUGCUUUUUCUUUUUUUCUUUCUCUCUUUUUUUCCCCAGUUGAUCUUUAACUACAGACAUUGCGUAUCCGCUCGUUUCUUGUUUUUUCUUUUUCUUCUUCUUUUUUGUCCUUUUUUACGUUUUUUUCUCUGUUUUUUUCUUUCCUCUUUUUCUUUCUUUCUUCCUUUCUUUCUUUCUUUCUUUCUUCCUUUCUUUUUUCUUCCUUAAUAUGGAAAUAUCACUUAUAUAAUAAGGUCUCAAACGACAAUCAUAAUUUUUCUUGAACGGAGGCACGACUGCCCGAUAACGAACAUUACGUUGUACGAAUAAUAAUUAUUAUAUGAAAUCAUUACGGAAAAUUUUAUCGUCGUGUCUCCUUUUAUCAACGUUGAACGUGCCUAUGAGUCAAAGAAUUCUCUUGCGAGAAAAGUUAUUCGAUUGGAUUUGAUACGAACUAAAAGAUACACUUCUUCAAUGACGAAUCCUUCAUUAUGAACUUACGAAUGAUAUCGCGAAAUUUUCUUUUUUUUUUUUUAAUACGAACUUUUCAUAAAACCCGAUAACGAGAUUUAAGAAAAUACAAAAGAAAAAAAAAAAGAAAAAAAAGGAAGAGAAAAAGAAAUAUAAAAAUG